rnacentral:rRNA from 1 species
UCGUAGGUGGUAGGCGGCAAGUUGGGAGUGAAAUCUCUGGGCUUAACUCAGAGGCUGCUUUCAAAACUGCCGUGCUCGAGUGCGAGAGAGGCCAGUGGAAUUGCAGGUGUAGCGGUGAAAUGCGUAGAUAUCUGCAGGAACACCCGUGGCGAAGGCGGCUGGCUGGAUCGCAACUGACACUGAGGAACGAAAGCUAGGGGAGCAAACAGGAUUAGAUACCCUGGUAGUCCUAGCCCUAAACCAUCAGAACUUGGGGUGGCUCGCGUAGGCGGGUCGUCCCGUAGCUAACGCGUUAAGUUCUGCGCCUGGGGAGUACGGUCGCAAGACUGAA